UACGUAGGUGGCAAGCGUUGUCCGGAAUUAUUGGGCGUAAAGCGCGCGCAGGCGGUUCUUUAAGUCUGAUGUGAAAGCCCACGGCUCAACCGUGGAGGGUCAUUGGAAACUGGAGAACUUGAGUACAGAAGAGGAAAGUGGAAUUCCACGUGUAGCGGUGAAAUGCGUUAGAGAUGUGGAGGAACACCAGUGGCGAAGGCGACGUUUCUGGUCUGCAACUGACGCUGAGGUGCGAAAGCUAGGGGAGCAAACGGG
rnacentral:rRNA from 1 species